rnacentral:rRNA from 1 species
ACGGGUACUUGUACCUGGUGGCGAGCGGCGGACGGGUGAGUAAUGCCUAGGAAUCUGCCUGGUAGUGGGGGAUAACGCUCGGAAACGGACGCUAAUACCGCAUACGUCCUACGGGAGAAAGCAGGGGACCUUCGGGCCUUGCGCUAUCAGAUGAGCCUAGGUCGGAUUAGCUAGUUGGUGAGGUAAUGGCUCACCAAGGCGACGAUCCGUAACUGGUCUGAGAGGAUGAUCAGUCACACUGGAACUGAGACACGGUCCAGACUCCUACGGGAGGCAGCAGUGGGGAAUAUUGGACAAUGGGCGAAAGCCUGAUCCAGCCAUGCCGCGUGUGUGAAGAAGGUCUUCGGAUUGUAAAGCACUUUAAGUUGGGAGGAAGGGCAKUUACCUAAUACGUAWYUGUUUUGACGUUACCGACAGAAUAAGCACCGGCUAACUCUGUGCCAGCAGCCGCGGUAAUACAGAGGGUGCAAGCGUUAAUCGGAAUUACUGGGCGUAAAGCGCGCGUAGGUGGUUCGUUAAGUUGGAUGUGAAAUCCCCGGGCUCAACCUGGGAACUGCAUUCAAAACUGACGAGCUAGAGUAUGGUAGAGGGUGGUGGAAUUUCCUGUGUAGCGGUGAAAUGCGUAGAUAUA